UUGAAGAUAGAAAUUCAGAUAUACCAGAACUGUGAUCAAACUGAGAAGACCAAGAGGUCCAAGGCCAAUGGCUUUUGGGAGCAGUGGAGGUGAACCUAAAGUUGGGGAGCGGCUUUAUUUGGGACUGGACUUUGGGACUUCUGGAACGAGGUUUGCCGUUAUCGAUAAACGAGGGAUAAUUCAUGCUGAGGGAAAGGGAGAAUACCCUCUUUUGUAUGGUUAUAUAUGACAACACUACUUGGAGAAGCAGAGGAUUUGGGUUUGUGACCAUCUCUAAUGAUCAGGAAGUAGAAGCAGCUGCUUGAUAGUUUAAUGGCUAUAUCAUGGCAUCUAGUUUAAAUGGACCUACUGUUGGAGAUCCACUCCCUGACAAUCUCAUGGAAUCUCCUGCAAGGUCUGAAACCAUGUUUUAUGCAAGGCAAACAUCUUCUCAAUGUUUCAGAUUACCUGUUCUUUAAUGCAGGUGUGGACUUUGGCCUAUGUCACCCCUGUGUACUUUAUAUUUUAGCUAUAGAUUAAUGAUACUGUUAAGUCAUUGCCCUCUACUUUAACUACUUUUUGUGAUUUGAAGUUGCAAUUUAAGUGGAUAUAUAUCUGUGAAACUAGUUCUCAAC